rnacentral:lncRNA from 1 species
UGUUUUGGUAAACAGGUUUGAAUCGCCCUGUUUUGGUAAACAAGUUUGGUACGACAAAAUUCAAGGAAACGAAAAAAGCUUGUGUGAAUGAUCUGAGUCAUGUUUUGAAUACUGUGAUGUAUUAUAAUGUUAUAACUAUGAUAGUUUGCGUUGUGAAUAAAUGACGUUGAAUUAUGCUAUGUUAUGUUCUUAGUUACUCACCAUUUCCUUUUGUAGUUGUGGUUCCACUUGCAAUGAUCGUAGUUAUAGGGAGUAAAUGACAUUGCAGAUAAUUCUCACUCCAAUAGGUAACUUUGCACUCCUCUACAUGUAAGACUCACUUCCAAACCCCACGAUCAUUCUCUCUUCUUUUCUACUCUCUCCUUUCUCUUUAUAAACCCAUGCUGACCACUUAAAUACGUACAUAUCCAAGCAAAUACCCUGGAAAUGAGAAAACCUUACUUCUCUGAACCUGUACCUCUCAACCCAAAACUUACACACCUAAUUAUUUUUGUUUCUCAGCUCUCCUUUAUAGCCAACAGAACGUGAAACCCUUUUCCCAAGCACCAUCAACUCUCAUUUUCUACAAUCCACACACCCUUUACGCCAUUCUUUUACUUCUUUUCUCUCCACAAAAACUCAUAAUCCUAUCAACCCUUCAAAAAUACCAAACACUAACGUGAGAAACUACCUUAACUACUACCCCUCUACUCUCUCUACGGUUUCCAGUGCAACAAAACUACCCUUUUCUUUUCUUUUCCUUCUUCCUCAUCCUUUCAUAGACCCUUCCCACUAUCGUUACUUUUCUUCUAGAUCAUCUCACUCUCCCUUAUUCUCAACCGCGACUCCUCACCUCACUUACCAUCACGGUAUUCACCUUCCUUUUCUCCUCCAUUCUUUCACUCCUUCGAAGCCCUAUUCCAACAACUCAUCCUACUCUUCUUUCUUUUUUUUUCAAGACACCCUCACUCACAUCACAUAUCUCCAGCUUCCUUCUCUGUAAACCCUCUACCAAACUACUCUCAACCUGUCACACAGUCACAUACCUUCUCAAACACAAUGUAAAAAAACAGAAAAAUGAAGAGAAUUGAAUUAAUCAUACAACCUAACACAUAGAUGCUCUAGUCACUCCCCU